UUGACUAUACUUUCAGGGAUCAUUUCUAUAGUUCAUUACUAGAGAAGUUUCUCAGAAUGUAUAGAGAGAGAAAAAAAAGAAUCCAUAGA
rnacentral:snoRNA from 1 species